UUGCGGCUACAUCAUAUCGAAACACCAGUUCCCGUAAGAGCACCGAAGUUAAGCAACGUGGGUCCUGGUUAGUAUCUAGACGGGUGAACGCUUGGGAAUAUCAGGUGCUGUAA